rnacentral:sRNA from 1 species
CUGGACAGUUUUUGUGCAAGUCUCGGACUUGCACUGGCAACUCCUGUUCAUACAUGAAAAAAAAGUGCCGUACUUGCGCUCAGUCGGUUUACUUACUAAAAGUAAUGGGUACUAUGUAGUCCGGCUAAUUUCCCAGUGAUGGGAGA